GACGAACGCUGGCGGCGUGCCUAAUACAUGCAAGUAGAACGCUGAAGGAGGAGCUUGCUUCUCCGGAUGAGUUGCGAACGGGUGAGUAACGCGUAGGUAACCUGCCUGGUAGCGGGGGAUAACUAUUGGAAACGAUAGCUAAUACCGCAUAACAGUAGAUAUUGCAUGAUAUCUGCUUGAAAGGUGCAAUUGCAUCACUACCAGAUGGACCUGCGUUGUAUUAGCUAGUUGGUGAGGUAACGGCUCACCAAGGCGACGAUACAUAGCCGACCUGAGAGGGUGAUCGGCCACACUGGGACUGAGACACGGCCCAGACUCCUACGGGAGGCAGCAGUAGGGAAUCUUCGGCAAUGGACGGAAGUCUGACCGAGCAACGCCGCGUGAGUGAAGAAGGUUUUCGGAUCGUAAAGCUCUGUUGUAAGAGAAGAACGAGUGUGAGAGUGGAAAGUUCACAC
rnacentral:rRNA from 1 species